UUGAGUGCUGGGUGCCUGAGGGGCAGGUGGCUGAGGCAGGUCAAGUGUGACAGCAGACACCUUAGUCCAGAGCCAGGAUCAUCUGCCACCUUGCUUGCUACCUGGAGUGUCCAGCUCCCUGAUAUUCUGUUUGUGCCAAAGAAAGAAAAAGUAAAGCUCCAGAACAUUGGCAGGGCUGGUAGCUGAGGGUGACUCUCUGUAGCUAACAUGUACACCAUGUCUGGUUGAAUAGCCAAGUCCAGAAAAGCCUGAGUCACCAGUCGCCAAGUCCUGAGUCACCAGUGUGCCUGAGAUGGUGAUUUCUUUUGCCUGAUGGUGGGGUUGCAGUGGUAAGAGGUGCAGUGGGCUAGCAGCUGCCUUUGAUGGAGUGGGGGGAGUAGGUGUGGGCUUCAACGAGGCUGACGUCAGCCCUGCAGCGCUUUGGCUGUGCUAGGGGGCCCUUUUGAUGUAGCAGACACUUGUGGGCUCAGUGAGAUGAAAAAGAUGGGGAAAUGCACAGUUGUGGGAUAGGUGUGCAUUCCCAUAGCUCACCUCCAGGAGGAGAACUUGGGCUCUUGGAUUGCUUUAGUAUGUUGCACUAGAGCCAAGGCCAGAAAAGAAAUUCCGUGAACUCAAUGUGCUGACCUUAAAAGGACUUUUUUUUUUUUUUUUUUCCUGUGACAGUCUGUAAUACUGGUUUUCCUUGGUGUCCUUCAAUCACACACUCAUAACUUUUUGAGGUUUUGUGUUUGGAACUUAGAUGAUUUUUUUUUUUUUUUUUUUUUUUUACAAUUUUAUGGGGGUUGGUCAAGGGUUUGUAGUACAGUCAUUGACACCUGUGUACAAUUUCUUGUUUCCCUGUGAAAGUCCUCUGCACUUUUGUCUACAACUAACUCACCUACAACACUCUCCUCUACAACCUAGGUCCAUUACUUUAUCAUGAACCAGGACUCCAAGCUUCUCUUCAGCCUCUUCCUUCCCCUCCUUGCCCAGAGUUCUUUACUUUGAUGCAGUAUACCAUAGCCAGCCCACAUAUCACUUUGUGUUCUUUCUCCCUGUCCCUACUUGUUAAGUUCCUGUCCCUUCUUAUUAAAUCCUUCUGUUUUUCAUUCAUUUGUUGAAAGUGGAAGGGGGAGAUAAUGAGAGAAAAAGAGACACCUACAGCACUACUUUACCACUCCUGAAGCUUCCCCCUUGCAGGGGGGGAUCAGGGGCUUGAACCCAGGUCCUCACACAUGAUAAUGUGUGCAUUCAAACAGGUACACCACCAUCUGGCCCCUAAACCUUGAUGAAAACUUGUUCAUUCAGUACCUACUAUGGAUCAGGCACUGUGCCGGGACAGAACCACAGGUGAAAUCCUGCCUGCACUUGAAAUUUGGCAGUCUGCUGAUGGGGUGCAACAGGCAGUUGGGGCGAGGCUGAAGUAAGAACGCCUUAAGUGGUGGUGACCUUGGAGCUGGGUCCAGGAGGAUGGUUGGAGCUGGUGUGACCAGAGGAUAAGGAUGAGUCCAGCAGUGUGAAAGGUCCCAUGUGUGGAGGCAGUGUCACAGCUGAAGUAGAGACUGUGUGGUAUUGACAGGCAAGUGGGCUGAAGUGGCCAGGCAUGGGCCAGUCUGUCAGAGUUUACAUUCUACUUGAAGGCAAUGGUAGGGAGCCAUGGAAGGUUUAGAGUGAAGAGAGAAGCACAAACAGUUAUCCUGAGCAAUGAUUCUGAUGGGAUCAUGGAGGGAGAUGGGUUAGAGAGGCAAGAGACUGAUGCCUGGAUUAGUUAUAAAGAAUAUAAGAGGUUGGGCUGGGUGGUAGAGCACCUGGUUGAGUGCACAAGGACCUGAAUUCAAGACCCUGGUCCUAACCUGUAGGGGAAGAGCUUCACAAGCAGUGCAACAGUAUUGCAGGAAUCUCUUCCUCCCCUCUGAAUUUCUCUAUUUCUAUCCAAAAUAAAUAAAUAAAUGAGGGAGAAUAAGACUGAUUGUCAUGGUAGGGAGACAUAUUAGACUUGAGAUACACUAAAUGGUCUCAGAGAUCAUUUCUUAUAUUAAAAAAUAAAGUAUGAUUUUUUUUUUGCCUUCAGGGUUAUUGCUGAGGCUCGGUGCCUGCGCUAUGAAUCCACUGCUCCUGGAGGCCAUUUCCCCAUUUUCUUGCCCUUGUUGUUACUCUUAUUGUUGUCAUUAUUACUAUUGUUGUCACUGCUGCUGUUGUUGUUGAAUAGGACAGAGAGAAAUGGAGAGAGGAGGGGAAGAUGGAAAGGGGGAGAGAAAAACAGACACCCAUAGAUCUGCUUCAUCCCCUGUGAAGCAACUUCCCUGCAGGUGGGGAGCCGGGGGCUCAAACUGGGAUACUUGUGCCGGUCCUUGCGCUUUGUGUCAUGUGUGCUUAACCUGCUCUAUGAUUUUUUUUUUUUUAAUUGUCACUAGGGCUAUUGCUGGGGCUUAGUGCCUGCACUGCAAAUACACUGCUCCCGUUGGCCAUUUAUUCCUUUCCCUUUGUUUCUUUGGUCGGACAGAGAUAAAUUGAGAGGGGAGAAGGAGAGAGAAAGACACCUGUAGACCUGCUUCACCACUAGUGAAGCAUCCCCUGUUCUCCCCACUCACCUACCCCCGCAGUCCUGGAGUGGGGGCCUGACGUGGGUCCUUGUGCAUGGUAAUGUUUGUGUUCAACUGGGUGUACCACUGUCCAGCCCCCAGAAAGCAUAAUUCUUUCUCUGCCUUAUACAGCUCCGAGUCAUCCCAACAGAGGUACAGCUACUAUCUCCAUAGGUUAUGGCAUUGAGAGAGGAGUUACUGGAGGUCACACAGCUAGGGAAUGACAGAGCCAGAACUCAAACUGAAGCACAGCAUCUCUUAGCAGUGAGCAGCCACCACUCUUGACCUUGUGUAGGUACAGAUAAAGAGAUGUCUGUUCCCCCAGGUGGACUGGGGCAUGUGGAGGAGAUCACAUAGAGAGCUCAUUGGGGGGUGACAGGUCAAGUGCUGCUGCUCUGGAUGGAGGUGUGCCUUGUGCACAUAGGAGUGGAUGCUUUGGAUAUUUAGAUCCUUUGAAGUCCAGCACCUGUGACAGUGAGGACGUGGAGAUGUAGAAUUAGGCUGUUUCAGAAGAGAUGAGAAGCCACUUGAUGGAAUGAAUACUUCAAACAGAUGUCUGAGUCCCAGCUGGCAUCUUCUUCAGAUGUGUCUCUGGAAGGAGCCAGCAUUUGCUGCAAGAAGGAGUUGAUAAUCCUGGCUUUGCAGCCCUAACAUGGUUCAGGGGUAGUUUCCGUCUAUUGACCCUGUAGCUCUUCCAGGAUCCACACUGCCUCUGAGUCUUAUGGGACAUCUUGACUGAAGAUACUGGGAAGACUAUUCCAUGCACCUUUGAGGAGAGUAAUAAGAAGCUAAAGAAAUGGUUUGAAGGGGGCCAGGUGUGGCACACCCUGCUAAGUGCACAUAUUACAUGUGCAAGGACCCAGUUUGAGCCCCUGCUUCUCACCUGUAGAGGGGACAUUUCAGGAGCGGUGAAGGAAGUCUCUUCUCUCUUCCUCUGUAUGUCCCCUCCCCUCUCAAAUUUCUCUGUCCUGUCAAUUGAAAUAGAAAAAAAAAAAAAAAGGGAAAAAAUGGUUGCUGGGAGCAGUGGAUUCAUAAUCCCUGGCACCAAGCCCUAGCAGUAACCUUGGUGGGAAAAACAAAAAAAGGUUUGGGUGAUUCUACCAGCCGUUCCACUCCAUGGGUGUCUGUCCCUGAGAUGGUAUGACUAGGGACUAAGAGCCUUGCAGUCCCUUUGUUGACUCUGAUUAAGUUCCCAUGUGCCUUUCAAAGGGUGUAAGCAGGGAGUCGAGCUGUAGCGCAGCGGGUUAAGCGCAGGUGGCGCAAAGCACAAGGACUGACAUAAGGAUCCCGGUUCGAACCCCGGCUCCCCACCUGCAGGGGAGUUGCUUCACAGGUGGUGAAGCAGGUCUGCAGGUGUCUAUCUUUCUCUCAUCCUCUCUGUCUUCCCCUCCUCUCUCCAUUUCUCUCUGUCCUAUCCAACAACGACAACAACAAUAAUAACUACAACAAUAAAACAACAAGGGCAACAAAAGGGAAUAAAUAAAUAAAAAUAUAUAAAAAAA